rnacentral:rRNA from 1 species
AUUGAACGCUGGCGGCAGGCUUAACACAUGCAAGUCGAGCGGAGUGAUGGUGCUUGCACUAUCACUUAGCGGCGGACGGGUGAGUGAUGCUUAGGAAUCUGCCUAUUAGUGGGGGACAACAUCUCGAAAGGGAUGCUAAUACCGCAUACGUCCUACGGGAGAAAGCAGGGGAUCACUUGUGACCUUGCGCUAAUAGAUGAGCCUAAGUCGGAUUAGCUAGUUGGUGGGGUAAAGGCCUACCAAGGCGACGAUCUGUAGCGGGUCUGAGAGGAUGGUCCGCCACACUGGGACUGAGACACGGCCCAGACUCCUACGGGAGGCAGCAGUGGGGAAUAUUGGACAAUGGGGGGAACCCUGAUCCAGCCAUGCCGCGUGUGUGAAGAAGGCCUUAUGGUUGUAAAGCACUUUAAGCGAGGAGGAGGCUCUUUUGGUUAAUACCCAGGAUGAGUGGACGUUACUCGCAGAAUAAGCACCGGCUAACUCUGUGCCAGCCGCCGCCGUAACAC